UUACAGGCUUGCUCUGGUGGAUAGUGGCGAACGGGUGAGUAACACGUGAGCAACCUGCCCCUGACUCUGGGAUAAGCGCUGGAAACGGCGUCUAAUACUGGAUAUGUCCCAUCACCGCAUGGUGUGUGGGUGGAAAGAUUUUUCGGUUGGGGAUGGGCUCGCGGCCUAUCAGCUUGUUGGUGAGGUAAUGGCUCACCAAGGCGUCGACGGGUAGCCGGCCUGAGAGGGUGACCGGCCACACUGGGACUGAGACACGGCCCAGACUCCUACGGGAGGCAGCAGUGGGGAAUAUUGCACAAUGGGCGGAAGCCUGAUGCAGCAACGCCGCGUGAGGGAUGACGGCCUUCGGGUUGUAAACCUCUUUUAGCAGGGAAGAAGCGAGAGUGACGGUACCUGCAGAAAAAGCACCGGCUAACUACGUGCCAGCAGCCGCGGUAAUACGUAGGGUGCAAGCGUUAUCCGGAAUUAUUGGGCGUAAAGAGCUCGUAGGCGGUCUGUCGCGUCUGCUGUGAAAUUCCGAGGCUCAACCUCGGGCUUGCAGUGGGUACGGGCAGACUAGAGUGCGGUAGGGGAGAUUGGAAUUCCUGGUGUAGCGGUGGAAUGCGCAGAUAUCAGGAGGAACACCGAUGGCGAAGGCAGAUCUCUGGGCCGUAACUGACGCUGAGGAGCGAAAGGGUGGGGAGCAAACAGGCUUAGAUACCCUGGUAGUCCACCCCGUAAACGUUGGGAACUAGUUGUGGGGUCCUUUCCACGGAUUCCGUGACGCAGCUAACGCAUUAAGUUCCCCGCCUGGGGAGUACGGCCGCAAGGCUAAAACUCAAAGGAAUUGACGGGGACCCGCACAAGCGGCGGAGCAUGCGGAUUAAUUCGAUGCAACGCGAAGAAACUUACCAAGGCUUGACAUACACGAAAACGGCCAAAAAAUGGUCAACUCUUUGGACACUCUGAACAGGGGUGCAUGUUGUCGUCACUCUGCCGAAAUGUUGGUUAAGUCCUAACGAGGGCAACCCUCUUUCUAUGUGCCAUACCUAAUGGUGGACUCAUGGGAUACUGCGGGUCAACUCGAGAGGGGGGAUGACUUAAUCAUCAUGCCCUUAUGCUUGGNGUACCCAAUGCUAAAAUUG
rnacentral:rRNA from 1 species